rnacentral:rRNA from 1 species
GACGAACGCUGGCGGCGUGCUUAACACAUGCAAGUCGAACGGAAAGGCCCUGCUUUUGUGGGGUGCUCGAGUGGCGAACGGGUGAGUAACACGUGAGUAACCUGCCCUUGACUUUGGGAUAACUUCAGGAAACUGGGGCUAAUACCGGAUAGGAGCUCCUGCUGCAUGGUGGGGGUUGGAAAGUUUCGGCGGUUGGGGAUGGACUCGCGGCUUAUCAGCUUGUUGGUGGGGUAGUGGCUUACCAAGGAUUUGACGGGUAGCCGGCCUGAGAGGGUGACCGGCCACAUAGGGCCAGAGAUGCGGCCAAGACGCAUACGGGAGGCAGGGGUGGGGAAUAUAGCACAAUGGGCGGAAGCAGGAUGCAGGAACGCCGCGUGCGGGAUGACGGCCUUCGGGUUGUAAACCGCUUUCGCCUGUGACGAAGCGUGAGGGACGGUAAUGGGUAAAGAAGCACCGGCUAACUACGU